rnacentral:rRNA from 1 species
UACGUAGGGGGCUAGCGUUGUCCGGAAUCAUUGGGCGUAAAGCGCGUGUAGGCGGUCCGGUAAGUCCGCUGUGAAAGUCGAGGGCUCAACCCUCGAAUGCCGGUGGAUACUGUCGGGCUUGAGUACGGGAGAGGCGAGUGGAAUUCCUGGUGUAGCGGUGAAAUGCGCAGAUAUCAGGAGGAACACCGAUUGCGAAGGCAGCUCGCUGGAACGUUACUGACGCUGAUGCACGAAAGCGUGGGGAGCAAACAGG